rnacentral:rRNA from 1 species
UACGAAGGGGGCUAGCGUUGUUCGGAUUUACUGGGCGUAAAGCGCACGUAGGCGGAUUGGUCAGUUAGGGGUGAAAUCCCAGAGCUCAACUCUGGAACUGCCUUUAAUACUGCCAGUCUAGAGUCCGGAAGAGGUGAGUGGAACUCCUAGUGUAGAGGUGGAAUUCGUAGAUAUUAGGAAGAACACCGGUGGCGAAGGCGGGUCUCUGGGCCGAUACUGACGCUGAGGUGCGAAAGCGUGGGGAGCAAACAGG